UACGUAGGGGGCAAGCGUUGUCCGGAUUUAUUGGGCGUAAAGAGCGUGUAGGCGGCCAGGUAGGUCUGCUGUGAAAACUGGAGGCUUAACCUCCAGCUGUCGAUGGAAACCAUCUGGCUAGAGUCCGGAAGAGGAGAGUGGAAUUCCUGGUGUAGCGGUGAAAUGCGCAGAUAUCAGGAAGAACACCCGUGGCGAAGGCGGCUCUCUGGGACGGUACUGACGCUGAGACGCGAAAGCGUGGGGAGCGAACAGG
rnacentral:rRNA from 1 species